rnacentral:rRNA from 1 species
CCUACGGGUGGCAGCAGUGGGGAAUAUUGCACAAUGGGGGAAACCCUGAUGCAGCGACGCCGCGUGAGCGAUGAAGUAUUUCGGUAUGUAAAGCUCUAUCAGCAGGGAAGAAAAUGACGGUACCUGACUAAGAAGCCCCGGCUAACUACGUGCCAGCAGCCGCGGUAAUACGUAGGGGGCAAGCGUUAUCCGGAUUUACUGGGUGGAAAGGGAGCGUAGACGGCUUGGCAAGCCAGAUGUGAAAGGCUGGGGCUCAACCUCAGGACUGCAUUUGGAACUGUCAUGCUAGAGUGUCGGAGAGGCAGGUGGAAUUCCUAGUGUAGCGGUGAAAUGCGUAGAUAUCUGGAGGAACAUCAGUGGCGAAGGCGACUAUCUGGCACAUAACUGACGCUGAGGAGCGAAAGCGUGGGUAGCAAACAGGAUUAGAUACCCUAGUAGUC